GUGCUCGCUUCAGCAGCACAUACACUAAAACUGGAACGAUACAGAGAUUAGCAUGGCCCCUGCACAAGGAUGAAACGCAAAUUUGUGAAGCGUUCCAUAUUUUU
rnacentral:snRNA from 1 species